UACGUAGGGGGCAAGCGUUGUCCGGAUUUAUUGGGCGUAAAGAGCGUGUAGGCGGCUGGGAAGGUCCCGCGUAAAAGGCCACGGCUCAACCGUGGUAUGCGUGGGAAACCACCUCGCUAGAGUCCGGAAGGGGAGAGUGGAAUUCCCGGUGUAGCGGUGAAAUGCGCAGAUAUCGGGAAGAACACCAGUGGCGAAGGCGACUCUCUGGGACGGCACUGACGCUGAGACGCGAAAGCGUGGGGAGCGAACAG
rnacentral:rRNA from 1 species